rnacentral:rRNA from 1 species
ACUCUGGGACAAGCCCUGGAAACGGGGUCUAAUACCGGAUAUGACUGUCCAUCGCAUGGUGGAUGGUGUAAAGCUCCGGCGGUGCAGGAUGAGCCCGCGGCCUAUCAGCUUGUUGGUGAGGUAGUGGCUCACCAAGGCGACGACGGGUAGCCGGCCUGAGAGGGCGACCGGCCACACUGGGACUGAGACACGGCCCAGACUCCUACGGGAGGCAGCAGUGGGGAAUAUUGCACAAUGGGCGAAAGCCUGAUGCAGCGACGCCGCGUGAGGGAUGACGGCCUUCGGGUUGUAAACCUCUUUCAGCAGGGAAGAAGCGAAAGUGACGGUACCUGCAGAAGAAGCGCGGCUAACUACGUGCCAGCAGCCGCGGUAAUACGUAGGGCGCAAGCGUUGUCCGGAAUUAUUGGGCGUAAAGAGCUCGUAGGCGGCUUGUCACGUCGGUUGUGAAAGCCCGGGGCUUAACCCCGGGUCUGCAGUCGAUACGGGCAGGCUAGAGUUCGGUAGGGGAGAUCGGAAUUCCUGGUGUAGCGGUGAAAUGCGCAGAUAUCAGGAGGAACACCGGUGGCGAAGGCGGAUCUCUGGGCCGAUACUGACGCUGAGGAGCGAAAGCGUGGGGAGCGAACAGGAUUAGAUACCCUGGUAGUCCACGCCGUAAACGGUGGGCACUAGGUGUGGGCAACAUUCCACGUUGUCCGUGCCGCAGCUAACGCAUUAAGUGCCCCGCCUGGGGAGUACGGCCGCAAGGCUAAAACUCAAAGGAAUUGACGGGGGGCCGCACAAGCGGCGGAGCAUGUGGCUUAAUUCGACGCAACGCGAAGAACCUUACCAGGGCUUGACAUACACCGGAAACGUCUGGAGACAGGCGCCCCCUUGUGGUCGGUGUACAGGUGGUGCAUGGCUGUCGUCAGCUCGUGUCGUGAGAUGUUGGGUUAAGUCCCGCAACGAGCGCAACCCUUGUCCCGUGUUGCCAGCAGGCCCUUGUGGUGCUGGGGACUCACGGGAGACCGCCGGGGUCAACUCGGAGGAAGGUGGGGACGACGUCAAGUCAUCAUGCCCCUUAUGUCUUGGGCUGCACACGUGCUACAAUGGCCGGUACAAUGAGCUGCGAUACCGCGAGGCGGAGCGAAUCUCAAAAAGCCGGUCUCAGUUCGGAUUGGGGUCUGCAACUCGACCCCAUGAAGUCGGAGUCGCUAGUAAUCGCAGAUCAGCAUUGCUGCGGUGAAUACGUUCCCGGGCCUUGUACACACCGCCCGUCACGUCACGAAAGUCGGUAACACCCGAAGCCGGUGGCCCAACCCCUUGUGGGAGGGAGCUGUCGAAGGUGGGACUGGCGAUUGGG